UUAAAUUUUUAUUUUAUUUUCAUUUUGCUUAAACAAAGUCACAAAAGGAUAUUACAAUCUCAUCACUGUGCAUUGUCUAAUAUUGUAGAUGUUUAUUUUACAAAUUCCAACUAUAAAUGUUGUGAGGUAGCGUAUCAUUUUCACUUCAUCGAACAACGCUUUUCAUCUCAGCUCAGCUCAGCUAUUUCCAGUAGAAUGCAUUGAUAUUGGCACGCUCCUGGCCGCUAUUCAUAAACUCAAACAUCUACAAAUUCGUAUGUAUGCAACUUGAAAAUAUUGAGCUUGAGAAACCAUGAAAAUUGGCAACGUGGCUAACGAAAAUAAAGUAGACAGUGAGUUGGCAAUUUAAAAAGGUUAUCUAGAAAAUUAGAAAAGCAAAAUUAAAGUCGAUGUUUGUGUGAUAGCUUUUCCAUACUCAAGUAGUACUGAAUCGGUGAAGUUUAAAUGCCUACAGGCAAGCAUUCCGUUCUAUAUGUCGAGCAUAUGCAGCAAUAGAUGGCGCUGGUGGCAACACAUUUCUAAAACUCUUAUUAACAGUACUACAUAUUUCUUUAAAAUUCAAAAGACUUUUCUUUUUAGUCAUAUAAAAUAUGAAUAAUUAAUUUGCAAAUUAAAUCGACAUCUUGGCGCACCAUUGGGUUCGAUAUGGAAGGAUCUUUCGAAAAUCGAGUAAAAUAAUACGUAUCCUAAAUUAUUGAUCGUAGAGAAGUGAAACUUGAACGUUGGGUUCGAUAUGGAAGGGUCUUUCGAAAAUAGAUCCUCAAUAGUAGAAAAACGAGAGCAAAGCUUGUAUGUAUGGAACCGAUUUUUAUCAAAUUUUGUAAUUCGCCAGAGAAGUGGACGAUGAACAUGAUGAUAUCUAUUUGCUUAGAAGCUAAUUUACAUGCGGUUCAAAACUAGUAUACAUAUAAUUUGCGCCAUAUAACCGCAGACGCGAGAGCUCAUCCUCCAAAUUCUGUUGUGGGUCUUGGUAUUUUUCCAACAAUGUUAGGUCGUUAAACGGUUCAUGAAAAUCAGAAAAAAAUGUUCAUAAGUCAAACCACUUUGAUAACCAGUCAAUAAACAACAGAGCUGACAUUCUAUAGCCCUGACUAUCCACGAUCAGAUCGGCAUUUCUUCGCUUCAUUUAAAAACAUUUUGAUGGCUAAAAUAUCAAAAGAAUAUUCAAAACAUGGUGGUACGCACAAUUACGAAUUGUGGGCAAAGGAAAUGAUGCUAGAGAAAAUCAUUAGCUUGCGGAGGAAUGAAGUGGGCGUACAACGACGGUGGUGAUGAUGAUGAUGAUGAUGAUGAUGAUGAUGAUGAUGAAGGAGAUGGGAAGUACCACAAAAAAAUAUAGUAUUUGUGUUGAAGGCGUUUUUUCGGAUUAAUAAUAUUUUCAUAUGAAAAAAAGGUUAAAAAUAAAUGAUAUUUAUUUCAGCAUUUGAUAUAAGAAAUGUACUAUGUAUUAGGUCAAGUAAAAAGUUCGUUCGGUUUUUUUUUAAUGAU